GCGCCUUUGGCGGAACUGGCAGACGCACAGGACUAAGGAUCCUGUGUCCGCAAGGACAUGAGGGUUCGAGUCCCUUGAGGCGCA
rfam:Clostridiales bacterium GWD2_32_19 gwd2_scaffold_533, whole genome shotgun sequence.